rnacentral:rRNA from 1 species
GAUGAGCGCUGGCGGCGUGCCUAAUACAUGCAAGUCGAGCGAACGGAUAAGGAGCUUGCUCCUUUGAAGUUAGCGGCGGACGGGUGAGCAACACGUGGGUAACCUACCUAUAAGACUGGAAUAACUUCGGGAAACCGGAGCUAAUGCCGGAUAACAUUUGGAACUGCAUGGUUCUAAAGUAAAAGAUGGUUUUGCUAUCACUUAUAGAUGGACCGCGCCGUAUUAGCUAGUUGGUAAGGUGACGGCUUACCAAGGCAACGAUACGUAGCCGACCUGAUAGGGUGAUCGGCCACACUGGAACUGAGGCACGGUCCAGACUCCUACGGGAGGCAGCAGUAGGGAAUCUUCCGCAAUGGACGAAAGUCUGACGGAGCAACGCCGCGUGAGUGAUGAAGGUUUUCGGAUCGUAAAACUCUGUUAUUAGGGAAGAACAAAUGUGUAAGUAACUGUGCACAUCUUGACGGUACCUAAUCAGAAAGCCACGGCUAACUACGUGCCAGCCGCCGCCGUAA